rnacentral:misc_RNA from 1 species
AGCAAUCAGUGUGCCGUCUUUGUGGAAUUUGUGAAAGUGGACUAACUUUGAGGCUUAUUUGCAGAAUUGGUGUUUUGGGUGGGAUUGAGUGGAAUCAGGUAUUUGUUUGGUUUUUAGAAGGAAAAAUGUGAAAUUUAUUUUGCCGUUCUACUUGUGAGGACAUUUAGUUCAAAUUUGAUAAAAAUUAGUUUCCCACGUUUCUUUGGUUUACCUGGAAAUUAAAACCAUGGAACAGAUAAUUAUUUAACUUUUGCUAAUAAGAGAGUUCAGUUCUUCCUAUAAAAAAACUAGGUUUGCAUGUUUCUUUGUUUUCUUGGAAGAUUAAAGCCAUAAACCGGACAACUAUUUUGCUUUUCUACAAGCGGAGCCUUAACCUAAGGAGAUUUAAAUAUUUUUCACUUCUAGGAGAUGGAAGGGCAU